CGAGAGAGAGAGUUUCAGUAAACAUGUUCAAGGAGUUCAGAUAGAGCCUGUAUCAGGACCCCAUUUAGUUCAAUGUGUUAUAUGUACUAUUUUUGGUAGCCUACUGUACUUAAAUGGCCAGUAUUUUCUUUAUUCAUUGAAGCCUCUAUGUUUACA